rnacentral:lncRNA from 1 species
CUAUAAUAAUUAUUAAUUAAUAUGCAUCCAUUAAUUCCAUAAUUCCAUUCCAUUCCUACCGCACCCUUUGAAGAAAAAUGGAGGGAAAAUGAAAAUUAUAAGAAAAGCUGAAAAUGAAACAAAAAAAAAGAGAGGGAAGAAUGGGUAGGCUGCUGCCCUUUGAAGAAAAAGAAGGAAGGGAAAAAUGAAAAUUAUAAGAAAAGCUGAAAAGGAAACAAAAAAGAGAGGGAAAAAUGAAAAUUAAUAAAAGUGGUGAGAAAUUUUUUUUUUUUUUAUGUUAUUAACUUUUUAUCACACAUAUGACAUAUCCCACUAUUUUUAUAAUGACACGUGAUGUACUACUCCGUGUACCGGUCAAUUAUACGUACAAAAUAAAUAGAUUUAAAUCUACUUAAUAUAUAUAUAUACCAUUGAACUUGAUGGGAUACGGAACUUGUUUUUAUAUGCUUCGAGAUCGUAUCAGCAAAAAAUCGCAAAAAACAAACAUUCAGAUAUCAAGUAACCGAACAAAACUUUUCGAUGGUUAUAAAACGAAAAAUCACGAUUUAAAGGUUAUUUUAACUCCGAUUUUGAUUAUUUUUUAUAGCUACACUCAUUAAUCCUACAUGAAUACAAUGAAUGAAUUCGAUCUUCACUUUAAAAUAUUUACACUAGUGGAUACCACAAAAUCUUAUGUAUACUUAAUGAAAGUAUGAAUAAACUCUUAAGUAUUAGUGAAUCUAUUGUUUUGAUGAGAUACUCAUUCUACGAAAUUAGUUUCAAUGAUUCAACUGUCAAAAAUGUUUGUAUAUACUUCGAGAUCGCAUACGCCAAAAAUUACAAAAAACAAACAUUCAGAGAUAAAGUAACGGGACAAAACUUUUCGACGGUUAUAAACGAAAAAUCACGAUUUAACGGUUAUUUUAACUCCGAUUUUGAUGAUUUUUUACAGCUACACUCCUUGACCCUAAAUGAAUAUAAUGAAUGAAUUCAAUCUUCAAUUUAAAAUAUUUACACUAGUGGAUACCACAAAAUCUUAUGUUAUACUUAAUGAAAGUAUGAAUAAACUCUUAAGUAUUAGUGAAUCUAUUGUUUUGAUGGGAUACUCAUUCUACGAAACUAGUUUCAAUGAUCCAACUGUCAAAUAUGUUUGUAUAUACUUCGAGAUCGCAUACGCCAAAAAUUGCAAAAAACGAACAUUCAGAGAUAAAGUAACGGGACAAAACUUUUCGACGGUUAUAAAAAGAAAAAUCACGAUUUAACGGUCAUUUUAACUCCGAUUUUGAUGAUUUUUUUACAGCUACACUCCUUGACCCUAUAUGAAUGAAUUCGAUCUUCAAUUUAAAAUAUUUACACUAGUGGAUACAAAAAAAUCUUAUGUUAUACUUAAUGAAAGUAUGAAUAAACUUUUAAUUGUUAGUGAAUCUAUUGUUUUGAUAAGAUACACGCAUUCUACGAAGCUAGUUUCAACGAUCCAACCGUCAAACAUGUUUGUAUAUACUUCGAGAUCGCAUACGCCAAAAAUUGCAAAAAACAAACAUUCAAAGAUUAAGUAAUGGGACAAAACUUUUCGACGGUUAUAAAACGAAAAAUCACGAUUUAACGGUUAUUUUAACUCCGAUUUUGAUGAUUUUUUUACAGCUAUAGUCCUUGACCCUAUAUGAAUACAAAGAAUGAAUUCGAUCUUCAAUUUAAAAUAUUUACACUAGUGGAUAUCAUAAAAUCUUAUGUUAUACUUAAUAAAAGU